rnacentral:rRNA from 1 species
CGUGCCUAAUACAUGCAAGUCGAACGCAUUGUGGUUGAAAUGAUAUGAAGAACUUGUUCUAGAUUUGAUUUUCAACAUUGCAAUGAGUGGCGAACGGGUGAGUAACACGUGGGAAACCUACCUCUUAGCAGGGGAUAACAUUUGGAAACAAAUGCUAAUACCGUAUAAUAAUUAAAACCGCAUGGUUUUAGUUUAAAAGAUGGUCUUGCUAUCACUAAGAGAUGGUCCCGCGGUGUAUUAGUUAGUUGGUGAGGUAAUGGCUCACCAAGACAAUGAUACAUAGCCGAGUUGAGAGACUGACCGGCCACAAUGGGACUGAGACACGGCCCAUACUCCUACGGGAGGCAGCAGUAGGGAAUCUUCCACAAUGGACGAAAGUCUGAUGGAGCAACGCCGCGUGUGUGAUGAAGGGUUUCGGCUCGUAAAACACUGUUGUAAGAGAAGAAUGACAUUGAGAGUAACUGUUCAAUGUGUGACGGUAUCUUACCAGAAAGGAACGGCUAAAUACGUG